rnacentral:rRNA from 1 species
GAUGAACGCUGGCGGCGUGCCUAAUACAUGCAAGUCGAGCGAACGUACGAGAAGCUUGCUUCUCUGAUGUUAGCGGCGGACGGGUGAGUAACACGUGGAUAACCUACCUAUAAGACUGGGAUAACUUCGGGAAACCGGAGCUAAUACCUGAUAAUAUUUUGAACCGCAUGGUUCAACAGUGAAAGACGGUCUUGCUGUCACUUAUAGAUGGAUCCGCGCUGCAUUAGCUAGUUGGUAAGGUAACGGCUUACCAAGGCAACAAUGCAUAGCCGACCUGAGAGGGUGAUGGGCCACACGGGAACUGGGAAACGCUCCAGACUCCUACGGGGGGCAGAAGUAGGGAAUCUUCCGCAAUGGGCGAAAGCCUGACGGAGAACCGCCGCGUGAGUGAUGAAGGUCUUCGGAUCGUAAAACUCUGUUAUUAGGGAAGAACAUAUGUGUAAGUAACUGUGCACAUCUUGACGGUACCUAAUCAGAAAGCCACGGCUAACUACGUG